UACGUAGGGUGCGAGCGUUGUCCGGAAUUAUUGGGCGUAAAGAGCUUGUAGGCGGUUUGUCGCGUCUGCCGUGAAAGCCCAGGGCUUAACCCUGGGUCUGCGGUGGGUACGGGCAGACUAGAGUGUGGUAGGGGAGACUGGAAUUCCUGGUGUAGCGGUGAAAUGCGCAGAUAUCAGGAGGAACACCGAUGGCGAAGGCAGGUCUCUGGGCCACUACUGACGCUGAGAAGCGAAAGCAUGGGGAGCGAACAGG
rnacentral:rRNA from 1 species